UACGUAGGGUGCAAGCGUUGUCCGGAAUUAUUGGGCUUAAAGAGUUCGUAGGCGGUUUGUCGCGUCCGUUGUGAAAGCGUGGGGCUCAACCCCAAGUCUGCAGUGGAUACGGGCAGACUAGAGUCAGGUAGGGGAGAGCGGAAUUCCUGGUGUAGCGGUGAAAUGCGCAGAUAUCAGGAGGAACACCGGUGGCGAAGGCGGUGCGCUGGGCCUGUACUGACGCUGAGGAACGAAAGCGUGGGGAGUGAACAGG
rnacentral:rRNA from 1 species